UACGUAGGGUGCGAGCGUUAAUCGGAAUUACUGGGCGUAAAGCGUGCGCAGGCGGUUAUGCAAGACAGAUGUGAAAUCCCCGGGCUCAACCUGGGAACUGCAUUUGUGACUGCAUAGCUGGAGUACGGCAGAGGGGGAUGGAAUUCCGCGUGUAGCAGUGAAAUGCGUAGAUAUGCGGAGGAACACCGAUGGCGAAGGCAAUCCCCUGGGCCUGUACUGACGCUCAUGCACGAAAGCGUGGGGAGCAAACAGG
rnacentral:rRNA from 1 species